rnacentral:rRNA from 1 species
AAUCCAUAGGUUAAUGAGGCGAACCGGGGGAACUGAAACAUCUAAGUACCCCGAGGAAAAGAAAUCAACCGAGAUUCCCCCAGUAGCGGCGAGCGAACGGGGAGGAGCCCAGAGCCUGAAUCAGCAUGUGUGUUAGUGGAAGCGUCUGGAAAGGCGCGCGAUACAGGGUGACAGCCCCGUACACAAAAGCGCAUGUGCUGUGAGCUCGAUGAGUAGGGCGGGACACGUGGUAUCCUGUCUGAAUAUGGGGGGACCAUCCUCCAAGGCUAAAUACUCCUGACUGACCGAUAGUGAACCAGUACCGUGAGGGAAAGGCGAAAAGAACCCCGGCGAGGGGAGUGAAAAAGAACCUGAAACCGUGUACGUACAAGCAGUGGGAGCCCCACCACCAAAGCAUUUGCUGUACCGCGUUGACGGAGCGAAGCGACGUCAAACCGAUAAAACAGCAGUGUAAAGUGAGCCGCAGGGCGCUUUGCGCGACAGCGCAAAGGCAGGCGGUUUCGCGUAGCGAAAGCGAAUGCUUUGGGGUGGGGUGACUGCGUACCUUUUGUAUAAUGGGUCAGCGACUUAUAUUCUGUAGCAAGGUUAACCGA